ACACCGUUAGUAUAGUGGUUAGUAUUCUUCCCUUCCACUUGCUGGUUCGAGGAAGAGACCGGUGUUCGAGUCACCGACGGUGUA